rnacentral:rRNA from 1 species
CCUACGGGAGGCAGCAGUCGAGAAUCAUUCACAAUGGGGGAAACCCUGAUGGUGCGACGCCGCGUGGGGGAAUGAAGGUCUUCGGAUUGUAAACCCCUGUCAUGUGGGAGCAAAUUAAAAAGAUAGUACCACAAGAGGAAGAGACGGCUAACUCUGUGCCAGCAGCCGCGGUAAUACAGAGGUCUCAAGCGUUGUUCGGAAUCACUGGGCGUAAAGCGUGCGUAGGCUGUUUCGUAAGUCGUGUGUGAAAGGCGGGGGCUCAACCCGCGGACGGCACAUGAUACUGCGAGACUAGAGUAAUGGAGGGGGAAGCGGAAUUCGCGGUGUAGCAGUGAAAUGCGUAGAUAUCGAGAGGAACACUCGUGGCGAAGGCGGGUUCCUGGACAUUAACUGACGCUGAGGCACGAAGGCCAGGGGAGCGAAAGGGAUUAGAUACCCUAGUAGUC